GCAGUGGGGAAUUUUGCGCAAUGGGGGAAACCCUGACGCAGCAACGCCGCGUGAGUGAUGAAGGCUUUCGGGUCGUAAAGCUCUGUCAGAGGGGAAGAAACUGUUGUGGUCGAACAGGCCGCAAGACUGACGGUACCCUCAAAGGAAGCACCGGCUAACUCCGUGCCAGCAGCCGCGGUAAUACGGAGGGUGCAAGCGUUGUUUGGAAUUAUUGGGCGUAAAGCGCGUGUAGGCGGUUCGUUAAGUCUGAUGUGAAAGCCCGGGGCUCAACCCCGGAAGUGCAUUGGAUACUGGCGGACUUGAGUACGGGAGAGGGAAGUGGAAUUCCGAGUGUAGGGGUGAAAUCCGUAGAUAUUUGGAGGAACACCGGUGGCGAAGGCGGCUUCCUGGACCGAUACUGACGCUGAGACGCGAAAGCGUGGGGAGCAAACAGGAUUAGAUACCCUGGUAGUCCACGCCGCAAACGACUGGGUAC
rnacentral:rRNA from 1 species